ACUGGUAAGAUACUUAGAACCGGCACUAGCUACUACAUCCUGCCGGUGAUCCGUGGGAGAGGUGGUGGGCUCAAAAUGGCUAGCACUGUAAGAAGAACCUGCCCGCUUGAUGUUGUCCAGGACCGAUAUGAGGCAUCAAAUGGUCUCCCACUGAAAUUCACACCUGUGAACACCAAGAAAGGUGUCGUCCGCGUCCACACCGAUCUUAACAUAAGAUUCUCUGCUGCAUCAAUCUGUCACCAGUCAACAGCGUGGAAGCUUGACAACUACGAUGAAUGGACAAAACAAUGGUUUGUCACAACCAAUGGAGUUGAAGGAAAUCCUGGCCCGGAAACAACAAACAACUGGUUCAAGAUUGAGAAGUUCGAAGACAAGUACAAGCUAGUUUUUUGCCCUACAGUGUGUCAACACUACAAAGUUAUGUGCAAAGAUAUCGGGAUUUUUGUUGAUGCCAAAGGAGUAAGGCGUCUGGCUCUUAGCAGCGUGCCUCUCAAAGUUAUGUUCAAGAAGGUUUGAAGAUCAUGAUCGAUGAUGCAUGCUCAAAUACAAUAUCAAUAAGCUACGCCAUGUGCUUCUGUAGGAAUAAAUUCCAUAUUUGGAAAUUAAAAUGUAUCUCAUGUCGUUACAUACAGGUGUAUGUUGUUAGUGACUUGAUCUCUUACUUAAUAAAGAAACAAUGUUGACUAUUGUGACGUUGGUGUCCUUACUUCUUACUCUAUGGUUGUUGAAACAAUGUCCAAUUUUUACUUCUCUAGUUUGGGAAAAAAAAAAAACACUUAAUGUUUCAGGAAUAUGAAAUAGCUGAAAUUAAAAUAUUGAGUAUCAAACCCUGAUAAUCGAAUAAUAUAUCAUUUGAUAUAAACUCAUCUCUAGACAAGCAAACAAAACCCAAUCUCAAUUAUUAAAAAAAAAAAGUAACCCAUUGUUUUUUCUAAUAUUACAGUAUAAGGCUUAGCAUGAUGUUAUGCAUGAGAAAAUUCAGGUCUUGUGCUCUAACGACACCUGGUCAUUGGUUCCUUUUAUCCUUCGAUGAAUGUUGUUGGUAAUCGAUGGGUAUACAAGAUAAAGAAUUGUGUUGAUGGCAAUAUUGAGAGGCAUAAGGCGUGUCUAGUUUCUAGAGGUUUUACUCAGUAAGAAGGCAUUGAUUAUUCUGAAACUUUCAAUCCUAUUAUCAAGCUAGCGAACAUCAUAUUAGUCUUCUCCAUUGUGGUUUCGUGUAAUUGGAAGAUACAUUAGCUUGAUAUCCAUAAUGUCUUUCUUAAUGACAUUCUUGACAAAGAGGUCUACAAAAAACAACCCUCGAGUUUUGUUGACUCUGCCUUUCCUUCUCAAGUGUGCAGAUUGUAUAAGUUGCUAUAUGGUUUUAAAUAGGCUCUGCAAGCUUGGUACACUCGUCUGAGUAAUUUUCAACUCUCUAUUGACUUUCACGCCUCCAAAGUUAACACCUCCUUAUUUAUCUUAUAUGUUGGUGCUGUUAUCUUUUUAUCUUCUGGUUUAUGUUGAUGAUAUUUUACUUACGAGUAGCAACUCUACUAUGCUUCAUUGUCUAAUAUAGUUGCUGAGUUCAAAGUUCAAGCUUUAUAACUUUGGUGAAAUUCAUUAUUUUUUGGCUAUUAAGGUUCAGUUCACCAGUAUUGGUAUAAUGUUAGGACAACAUAAGUAUAUUCUUGACAUCCUCACUCAGGCUGGUACGAGUUAUGCAAACUUGUUGAUACUUUUAUCUCUACUUUCAAAGUUAUUAUAAUGCCAAAUCCAUUGUUUUCUAAUCCUAUAUGGUUUUGUCAAAUCGUUGGUGCUUUUAAAUAUCUCACCUUUACGAGACCACAUAUUUGAUUUUCUGUUAACAGAGUUUAUCAUUUUAUGCAUGCUCAUACAGAUUCUUAUUGGGUUAUUAUUAAAUGCAUUUUGUGUUAUCUUUAGGGAAUGAUAACCUAUGGCUUACAUAUUACUCGCAAUUCAUCUUUUGUGUUAUAUGGCUUUAUGGAUACAAAUUGAACAUGUGGUAUUGAUGAUCAUAAAUCUAUAGAUGGUUCCCUUGUUUUUUUUUUACGCCGAUUUAUGGAAAUCAAGUAAGUAAUGUAUAGUUGCUCGCUCCUCUACUGAAGUUGAGUAUAAAGCCUUAGUAGAUGACACUGCUGAGGUUAUCUGGCUUUAGUAUUUAUUGACAGAUCUAUAGAUUCCUUAUGUUUCUAAUCCUAUCAUUUGGUGUGAUAAUCUUGAUGCUACUUAUUUAUCUAUGAAUCUUAUCUUUCUUGCUUGUACAAAACAUGUUAAGGUUGAUUAUCAUUUUGUACGGGAUAGGGUUGCGAAGAAAGAGAAUCAGAUUUGUUUUAUAUCCUCCUAGGAUCAACUUGCAGAUGUCUUUACUAAGCCAUUUUCUACUGCUUCUCGCUUCAAGUUUCAGGUCAAUCCUCUACCCAUGGCUUGAGAGAGCAUAUUAUAAAAAAUAUAUAUAUUAUUAUAGACACUAUUCUAAUGUUGUAAUUUCUAUCUUUAUUAUUGUAUAUUGCCCUACAUAAAUAAAUAAAUAAAAAUUGACUAACUAAUAGGCAAGCCUCAGCUGGUUCAUUGAACAAAUCCAUUCACCGUGAUUUAUAAUUAGAAUAAACUUUACGCAAUUUAAAAAUUAGUUUUCUUCUCUUUUCUUUUAUUUUACGAUUAUCGUUCUUCUCAAUAAUUGUUUUUUAAAUAACAAGCCAUGCAUUGCGCUGUAAGGUGUAAACCGCAAACGAGAAGUAUAUAAGGUAAAAUAUUUAACUUUCAUGGACAGCCAGGCAAAGUAUUUGACUGAUCAUCCAUUCCAAUACACAGAAAAUUAUUAACACUGAUUAGCGCAUGAUUUGUAGUCGCAGACAAGAAGUUCUAACUUCAUUUUAUAACCUCAUAAAAUUCUUCGACAUUAAUGCAACUUUUUUCAAAGGACAACUAUAUAUGAAUAAUACAACUUUAGCUAAUUAACUACGGAACUCUUCUCUCCCAAAAACAGGGUGUUGUUUUGGAUCGUCCCGGUUUUAUCAAAUAAUAGAUCAUAUUGUACGAGCUACUCGAGGAUAUAAAAUAUAAGAUUAGGUUUGUACAGGAUCUUUUAAUUGACUUUAUGGCUGGUACUGAAGCCACCAGUUUUAAAUGUCAUCCACAGCUAGCGCUCCUUCAAAAGUUCUUACCAGCAUCAUGCAGGCAUCCCAUUGUAUUGCUAACUCUAUAAAUUAAAGCCUCUUCCCAUUCAUUCUAGCAUAAACACAUCACACACAUUGAAAGUAACCCGUAACGACAAUGAGAGCUGCAAUUCUAGCAUUGUCCUUCCUUCUUUUUGCCUUGGCUGCAGGUCUAGCGCCUAAGGUAGCAGCUACUGCUGCCCCUGAGCCAGUGCUUGACGUCACUGGUAAGAUAAUUAGAACCGGCACUAGCUACUACAUCCUGCCGGUGGUCCGAGGGAGAGGUGGUGGGCUCAAAAUGGCUAGCACUGGAAGAAGAACCUGCCCGCUUGAUGUUGUCCAGGACCGAUAUGAGGCAUCAAAUGGUCUCCCACUGAAACUCACACCUGUGAACACCAAGAAAGGUGUCGUCCGCGUCCACACCGAUCUUAACAUAAGAUUCUCUGCUGCAUCAAUCUGUCACCAGUCAACAGCGUGGAAGCUUGACAACUAUGAUGAAUGGACAAAACAAUGGUUU
rnacentral:lncRNA from 1 species